rnacentral:rRNA from 1 species
CCUACGGGUGGCAGCAGUGAGGAAUAUUGGUCAAUGGGCUUACGCCUGAACCAGCCAAGUCGCGUGAGGGAAGACUGCCCUAUGGGUUGUACACCUCUUUUGUGCGGGAGCAAUAAUGGUCACGUGUGGCCAGACGAGAGUACCGUACGAAUAAGCAUCGGCUAACUCCGUGCCAGCAGCCGCGGUAAUACGGGGGAUGCAAGCGUUAUCCGGAUUUAUUGGGUUUAACGGGUGCGUAGGCUGUGAGGUAAGUCAGCGGUGAAAUGCCCCCGCUCAACGGGGUGAAGUGCCAUUGAUACUGCCUUGCUGGAAUGCGGAUGCCGUGGGAGGAAUGUGUGGUGUAGCGGUGAAAUGCAUAGAUAUCACACAGAACACCGAUUGCGAAGGCAUCUCACGAAUCCGCGAUUGACGCUGAUGCACGAAAGCGUGGGUAUCAAACAGGAUUAGAUACCCUAGUAGUC